UUCAGUGCCCUACUCAGGAAGGCAUCAUUCACAUAAAUUGAUACAUGAAUGGCACCUUCUGAGUAGCGCAAUGUGCA